rnacentral:lncRNA from 1 species
GGGGUAUAACUCAGGGGAGUUUUGGGAUAAAUCUGUAGCAUCAUCUUCCAUCCGCCAACAUAAUAUCACCCUUAUGAAGUGUGUAGUGGUGAUAUAAACAUCACUUAACCAAGUCAAAAAGCUUCAUGUAGCAUUUGUAGAAAUCAAGACUGUAAUAGCAGUUCAUGUAUCGAUAGAGGCAUAAUGAAGGAGAGUGAGACCAGUAUCGACAAUGUGACGGUGACGGCGUUCAGC